rnacentral:lncRNA from 1 species
AGGGCAUGCAUGAGGUUAUGAAUACAGAAGACAACAAUGAACAUAAAGCCUUGGUAGAAAAAAGAAAAAACAAAAGUUGAACUCAGUGUGCAUCUGUGUUAUAAGCCAAAGAAGCAUGUAAACCAAGAACACCGAUGAAAUCAAUGUGAUUGGAAAUCUAAGAAGAUAAAAGGCCAGACUCAGUGCAAGCAGAAACAAGUGUAAAAACCAUCAUGUACAACUCAACAAUUUAUUGAAACAUAAACUCUGCCUGAAUAAAGAAAUAGGACAUCACCAGCACUCUCAAGACUAUCCUCUCCCUCACCUAAAGGCUGAGAACAUAGAGUCCCAAUACUGUGUACAAAUGUUACUUGGAUUAGUUGUUGCUAAUAAAGGCAUGCACUGCUGCCCGUCCUUAUAUAGAAGGCUAUCAUCGCAGAUAAUGACUACCAAGGUAAUUGGACCUGUCACACCUUGCAGCCUGGUUUCCAGCUUAUGGGAGAAAGGUUUGCAUCCCAGAGCUGAAGAAAUGGGUUCGCGUUCAAUGAGAUGAAGCCAUUUUGAAAAGGUUGUCCACGUAAUAUAUCUCUUAUAAUAAACCCAACUUCUGUCUUUUCCAC